rnacentral:lncRNA from 1 species
AGAAAAUAAGCUUGACUUUUACAUCAUAAAGCUCGAACCAGACGGACUGCAAACGCUCCAUCCAAGGAGUGUUUCACUGGGUUGGAUAAAAAGACGCCUUGCGACGUUACAAAACUUGAUGGUACUAAUCUGUCUACUGGAUCUACCGAGAACUCAUAUGAAAGCAAGCAGAGAGAUAACUUAUAAAUAUCGACAUUUGAAACUAAAGCAAAGGGACUAUAAAGAUUCUUACAGGAUGUCUUAGGAGAAACGCUUCGACUCUUCCUUGAUUUUCUUCAGGGUCUAUCGAGCAAGUACUGUAUAUCAAGAACCCACCAGGCUUUACCAAUUUUUGAGAUUUUAAUUUAAGACACAAAGAGAAGUAUUAGUUAGGUUCAUCGGAAAGUCCAUCGAGAUAUCCCGAGGAAGUUCUCCCUCGGUAUAUUCCGAGGAGCUUUCCGACGAACUGGUGGUCCUCGGAGUUUCCUCGGAAAUUCGUUUCCUCGGAAUUCCGUCGGAAAUUUCCGAGGGAUUUCCGAGGAAAAAUGAAUUUCCGAGGACUUGUUUCGUCGGUAUGUCAUCGGAAUAACGUUAUUCCGACGACAUACCGACGAUUUUUUUCCCUCGGUAUGUCGCUGUUUUCUUGUAGUGUUUGGUCUCAUCAGAUACACAAAUGGAACCCUAUCUCUCUGUUAUCAAGAUGAUCAGAGAAAAUAAGCUUGACUUUUACAUCAUAAAGCUCGAACCAGACGGGCUGCAAACGCUCCAUCCAAGGAGUGUUUCACUGGGUUGGAUAAAAAGACGCCUUGCGACGUUACAAAACUUGAUGGUACUAAUCUGUCUACUGGAUCUACCGAGAACUCCUGUGAAAGCAAGCAGAGAGAUAACUUAUAAAUAUCGACAUUUGAAAGUAAAGCAAAGGGACUAUAAAGAUUCUUACAGGAUGUCUUAGGAGAAACGCUUCGACUCUUCCUUGAUUUUCUUCAGGGUCUAUCGAGCAAGUACUGUAUAUCAAGAACCCACCC